rnacentral:lncRNA from 1 species
AAAUGACAUAAGUGUGUAAAUGCCUAAGUCCCUGUAAGUACUGUACCUUAGUAAAUAUUCAGGUAGCACCAGGCUGUGGUUUAGGAUCUGGGGUUCAAUCUUCACUCAGUCUGUGUGGAGUUUGCCUGUUCUCCCCAUGUUCACAAUGUAAGUCACUUUGGAGAAAAGUGAGACAAAUGAGUAAAUAUUCACAAUCAUAUUUUCAAUAGGCAUUUUAGCCAGAAGGCCGCACCUGCGACUGGAAUCCAAGCGGACUUGGUGUGGACUCCACAAACACAGUGCCACUGAAGGUGGGAGGUUCGCGUCCCUUCUCCUGUGCCUCUGUAUAGACAUCUACGUCUUCAUAGGUCUUCCACAGCAGUUAUUCCUGACUAGUAUGAGUACCAGGGGGCCCCUGUUACUCUGAAACCCUCUUGUUCUUUUCACUCAUGAUAUUUUUGCAGUAAAUGUCCUCCACCCAGUCGCUGCCAUGUGGGUCGACAGUGUCGGACCAGCGUUUCCGUUCAGACAGCUGUCUGCGUCCCAUCACUUCUCCAUGGGCUCCGGCCACCAUUUCGCGCCCUCGGUUUCGCCGCCAAAAAGCCCGGGAGAAGCGCGAGAGCGUAGCCGGUCACGUGUGUCGGCGCACGCGGAAAUCCCUGGGCGCCAACGGGCCCUCAAGCUUUCUCAACAAUCUCCGCUCCACUAAAGACAGUAUUUCUGCUGGGUGA